AACAAACCAUACAUAUAUAUUGGAAAAUAUGUGUAUAUAUAUGUUUGGCAACAUGUGGUUUCUAUAUAAGAGAUUAUGUGUGUAUUAAGGAGUGAAUAAAGAAGCUUGAAGAAAAAGAGGGAAGGCAAAAGUGUGGGGUUAAGGAGCCAUGUGAUAUGAUCCUUCAAACAUGUGGUUUUCUUUUUCAAACCCUUUUGCUUUCUUUCUCUCCUCUCUCAUUAUCAACACACACAUACACAUAUUUAUAUAAUGAGUGUGUGUGUGUGUUUGUUUUUCAUAAAAUUUGUGUGUCAAGCUCAGUCUCGCACUCAUA